rnacentral:lncRNA from 1 species
UUCACAAAUGAUAUCGAAUAUGUUCCUUACGUCGUAACUACAAUCCCCUUCCCUUUCAUGAAUUUAACCUACCGAAUUAGACUAUUUACCGGAUUUGUAAUCACAUAAGCAACACGACGGGUGCCGCAUGUGGAGCAGGAUCUGCUUACCCUUCCGGAGCACCUGAGAUCACCCCUAGUUUUUGAAGGGGUUCGUGUUGUUUAUUCUUUAGUUUUCUAUGUUGUGUCAUGUGUACUAUUG